UACGGGGGGUGCAAGCGUUGUUCGGAAUUACUGGGCGUAAAGGGUGCGCAGGCGGGUGUGCAAGUCUCUCGUGAAAGCCCACGGCUCAACCGUGGAAUUGCGGGAGAUACUGCAUGUCUUGAGUACGGGAGAGGAGGGUGGAAUUCCCAGUGUAGCGGUGAAAUGCGUAGAUAUUGGGAGGAACACCGGUGGCGAAGGCAGCUCUCUGGGCCUGUACUGACGCUGAGGCGCGAAAGCUUGGGGAGCAAACGGG
rnacentral:rRNA from 1 species